UUGGAGGUUGGCAAUAGGUGAUAAUUUCGGUAAUAGGUCAGGUCUGAAAAGAAGCAGCCAUAACGAAAUUUUUCAGGUUAUUGUUUAACCUCCUAUAA
rnacentral:SRP_RNA from 2 species